rnacentral:rRNA from 1 species
GUGGGGAAUAUUGCACAAUGGGGGAAACCCUGAUGCAGCGACGCCGCGUGAGUGAAGAAGUAUUUCGGUACGUAAAGCUCUAUCAGCAAGGAAGAAAAUGACGGUACUUGACUAAGAAGCCCCGGCUAACUACGUGCCAGCAGCCGCGGUAAUACGUAGGGGGCAAGCGUUAUCCGGAUUUACUGGGUGUAAAGGGAGCGUAGACGGUAUGGUAAGUCAGAUGUGAAAGCCCGGGGCUCAACCCCGGGACUGCAUUUGAAACUAUCAGACUAGAGUGCAGGAGAGGUAAGUGGAAUUCCCGGUGUAGCGGUGAAAUGCGUAGAGAUCGGGAGGAACACCAGUGGCGAAGGCGACUUACUGGACUGUAACUGACGCUGAGGCGCGAAAGUGUGGGGAGCAAACAGGAUUAGAUACCCUGGUAGUCC